rnacentral:lncRNA from 1 species
AGCACGCAAACAAUCAAACGAUAAAUAAAACAAAACAAUCCAAAAUGUAAUGUCCAGUCCAAUUAUACAGUCCGAAAAAUAGAAAAAUACGAAAAUAUAAAUCCUAGAAUAAACUAAAUCUAGACGAAGCUCCAAUGCCUUACCUGAUGCUGCGGGCCUUCAUCACGAUCAUUUUCCGCCAACAUGAUACGUCGGGGCAUUCCCCGAUGAACAAAUACAAGUGAUCUCGGGGCAUUCCCCGGCUAAAUGAAUACAUUAGAAUUAAAUACGAUAAACUAGAAAGAAACAUUCACACGCACAUUCCAACAUCCAACGAAACACUUAUUCCUAAACUUCGCCUACCCGAACCAAUGAUUGCCUACCCACUCGAUCUAUCAUGAUACUAUCCAAUUCAACAAUAUUCAGUAAUGAAUCAAAACAACAACCUUCAACUUAUUCAAUUAUCAAUUUUCGAUCCCGACCCCCAAAUCAACAAGUUUAAUCCUCAAGCCAUGGUUAACAAAUUUUUCGGUUAUCAAACCACUUUUAAAAUCUAAAAUCAACAUCAUACAUAUACAUCCAACGAAGAUUCAAGCAUUUAAGCACACCACUCCUACGUAUCCACAACAACGAUCAAUAUCUUACUAAAAAUUCAAUCAAAACACAAAAUCACGACAUUAACCAAAAUCCGAGAAAACGAAAGAGUAGAGUUAAAGAGAUGGACCUUAAUAGAACUCGUUAUUGUUGAUAAUAAAGAAACCCGAGACCCGAAAUCCUCAAACGGAGAACCCCAACGUCAAACAAACUCGAUCAGUGACCCCAAAACCGCCUCAUUAGGUGACAGUGAAUCAAUCAAGGCUCGGUCGAAACUCUCGAACGGAAAACCUCGACUCCGAGCUUGCGAAUUGAAUAGAACCGGUUCGAAACACAAUAAGCCCCCAAAAAUACGAGUCGAACAGAAAUCCAAAAAUUCACACGGACAACCGAAACAGAGAUUGCGAUGAGAAAACCAAGAUACCAUAUAAUUUCUGGCGGAACUUGGCUGGAAUCAAAUUCAGAAUGAACAGGAACAACAAAUUGGAAUCCGCUAUAAAAGCUGAAGUCCAACCCAAAUCAAAAACGAAGAACAAAUGUGUCCGAAACAAGAAGGUUAAGUGAAAAGGAACUUGACCUGUGUAGUCGGAGCUCCGACAAGUUCAGACUGCAUCCAGAAAAUGAUGAAAACAGAUCGAAUUUCAGCGACGGAUAGUGUUCCCGAUGAGAUCUCAACGGCUUCUAGUGUUCCUCGCCCAAUCCUCUUUUCAAACUACAUCUAUUUUUUUUCUUCUUAUCACUGUGUGCGUGUGCCUUCUUCUCUGUGUAAAUCCAUGUAAGUGAAGUGUGUUUAUGGAAAUUGAGGUGUGUUUUUGUGUCGAUAGGCUACUGUUUGAUGAAUCUUGUGUAUUCUCUCUGUUGGGAGCUCCAAAAAUAGAAAAGAUGGAGAUCCGUGGCUUCCUUUCUCUUUUUCUUCCUUUUCGAAAAGAAAAUCCCUCUGUAGCUCACUGUCUAUCUCUCGCCCCUUCUCUUCUCUCUCACGCUCAAAUUCCCCCAAACCCCUGUUAUUCUCCUCCUAUGCUACUGAUUCUUUGUUGCUCAAUUGUGUGCGCAUGUAUUCCGGUGAAGUUUUUUCCCAGUGAUGGUGUAUGAAUGUGCAGUCGAGUGUGUGCUAUCGUGAUUCGUGCGUUGUGUAGAAGAAAAGAAAAUGGAGUGUCUAUUACGUUAAGAAGACGGUGGCUGUGUAAUUCAGUGAAGGCGAGUGGAGUUCUGUGUGUCUUUUUUGGUUACUGUGAUAGUGCCAAAUUGUGAGACUGUGAGAGUAUGUGUGUGUUUUUCAUUGUGAG